AUGGAAAAAAUCGCGGAAACAAGGUGGGAUUAUUUAGCUACUAUGUUUACAGAAGCAAUAACAGUAAAUGCACCUGAAUUAUUGAAGAAUAUUCAAAUACCACAAAGAGUCAGCUAUAUUAGGGUAAUUAUGUUAGAAUUAAGCCGGAUAGCUUCUCACUUGCUAUGGCUUGGACCUUUUAUGGCGGAUCUCAGUGCACAAACUCCUUUUUUCUAUAUUUUUAGAGAGAGAGAAUUUAUUUUUAGAGAAAGAGAAUUAAUAUAUGAUCUAUUUGAAGCUGCUACAGGUAUGCGAAUGGUUCGCAUCGGAGGAGUAGCCGCCGAUCUACCUUAUGGGUGGAUCGGUAAAUGUUUAGAUUUCUGUGAUUAUUUUUUACACAGAGUUGUUGAAUAUCAACAACUUAUUACACAUAAUCCAAUUUUUUUAGAGCGAGUUGAAGGCGUCUAUUCUGCGUCAUAUGAUGAGCCACGGAACUUAUACAUGUUCAUCCCA
rnacentral:rRNA from 1 species